CUCCACCAGCUCUAUUGCAGGAAGCUGCCCUGUCCUGACCAGUCCUGUCCGGUUCUGUCCUGUCCAGUCCUGUCUGCCACCAGCCUCAAGUGGGGACCCCAGCCUGGGAGCCAACAGAGUGGUAUAAAAAGAACUGGCCUGUGCAUUGCAAGUCCUGGAGGAGCCCCAGAAGAAGCCUGCAGCAAGAGAGUUCAGGAGAGCUUGUGAUUGGAUAGGAUGUGAAGAACCCUUAAUGGUCCCUGAUGCCCUCCUUGUGCAGAGCUCACCAUUCCCCGAUGUGGGGUCUGACGUCCUUCGCCAAGCUCUCAUUUCUGCUCAAUCACAGUGACCAACUGUCACGACAUUCGUAGGUUUGGUGAGAUGAACCCCAAGACACCGGUUUCAGGGACAGAG